rnacentral:rRNA from 1 species
CCUACGGGUGGCAGCAGUGGGGAAUAUUGGACAAUGGGCGAAAGCCUGAUCCAGCCAUGCCGCGUGUGUGAAGAAGGCCUUCGGGUUGUAAAGCACUUUCAGUGGGGAAGAAAGCCUUGGGGCUAAUACCCUCGAGGAAGGACAUCACCCACAGAAGAAGCACCGGCUAACUCCGUGCCAGCAGCCGCGGUAAUACGGAGGGUGCGAGCGUUAAUCGGAAUUACUGGGCGUAAAGCGCGCGUAGGCGGUCUGAUAAGCCGGUUGUGAAAGCCCCGGGCUCAACCUGGGAACGGCAUCCGGAACUGUCAGGCUAGAGAGCAGGAGAGGAAGGUAGAAUUCCCGGUGUAGCGGUGAAAUGCGUAGAGAUCGGGAGGAAUACCAGUGGCGAAGGCGGCCUUCUGGACUGACACUGACGCUGAGGUGCGAAAGCGUGGGUAGCAAACAGGAUUAGAUACCCGAGUAGUC